AUACGGAGGGUGCAAGCGUUACUCGGAAUCACUGGGCGUAAGGCGCGCGCAGGCGGUCUUUUAAGUUGGAUGUGAAAGCCUACGGCUCAACCGUAGAACUGCAUCCAAAACUAUUAGACUAGAGUGUGGGAGAGGAAGAUGGAAUUAGUUGUGUAGGGGUAAAAUCCGUAGAGAUAACUAGGAAUACCAAAAGCGAAGGCAAUCUUCUGGAACACUCCUGACGCUGAGGCGCGAAAGCGUGGGGAGCAAACAGGAUUAGAAACCCUAGUAGUCC
rnacentral:rRNA from 1 species